rnacentral:rRNA from 1 species
AUUGAACGCUGGCGGCAUGCCUUACACAUGCAAGUCGAACGGUAGCGGGCCUUCGGGUGCCGACGAGUGGCGAACGGGUGAGUAAUGUAUCGGAACGUACCAUUGAGUGGGGGAUAACGUAGCGAAAGUUACGCUAAUACCGCAUAUUCUCUCCGGAGGAAAGCAGGGGACCGCAAGGCCUUGCGCUCUUUGAGCGGCCGAUAUCAGAUUAGCUAGUUGGUGAGGUAAAGGCUCACCAAGGCGACGAUCUGUAGCGGGUCUGAGAGGAUGAUCCGCCACACUGGAACUGAGACACGGUCCAGACUCCUACGGGAGGCAGCAGUGGGGAAUUUUGGACAAUGGGGGCAACCCUGAUCCAGCCAUGCCGCGUGAGUGAAGAAGGCCUCGGUUGUAAGAC